GAUGAACGCUGGCGGCGUGCCUAAUACAUGCAAGUCGAGCGAACGGACGAGAAGCUUGCUUCUCUGAUGUUAGCGGCGGACGGGUGAGUAACACGUGGAUAACCUACCUAUAAGACUGGGAUAACUUCGGGAAACCGUAGCUAAUACCGGAUAAUAUUUUGAACCGCAUGGUUCAAAAGUGAAAGACGGUCUUGCUGUCACUUAUAGAUGGAUCCGCGCUGCAUUAGCUAGUUGGUAAGGUAACGGCUUACCAAGGCAACGAUGCAUAGCCGACCUGAGAGGGUGAUCGGCCACACUGGAACUGAGACACGGUCCAGACUCCUACGGGAGGCAGCAGUAGGGAAUCUUCCGCAAAGGGCGAAAGUCUAACGGAGCAACGCCGCGUGAGUGAUGAAGGUCUUCGGAUCGUAAAACUCUGUUAUUAGGGAAGAACAUAUGUGUAAGUAACUGUGCACAUCUUGACGGUACCUAAUCAGAAAGCCACGGCUAACUACGUG
rnacentral:rRNA from 1 species